rnacentral:lncRNA from 1 species
UUUGCCUUCAAUUUCUUGAUGUAACUAUUGGCUACAAUUUCUAUACCUUGUUCAUCGUACUGGAGAUGCUACUUCAUAUGGAGCUACUGGAGAUGCUACUUCAUAUGGAGCUGGUAUGUAGAAUGAUUAUCACGAGUACUUCAAGCGCUCAUUUGAAUUACUGUAUAUUGACAUGUCUCUUUGGUUUUGCAUAUAUGGUCUGGUCCUGAAAGAAUCUUGUGUGGAUGAAUGAUGCAGUGCAGUAGGUUGGUAGCUUGUAGUACAGGAACGGGUUGGCAGGCCAACUUUGAGAUUUGCGUUAUGUUGCCAGCUCAUGC